rnacentral:rRNA from 1 species
UUUUUUAGUGUAAAAUUUGAUUUAGAUUUACCUAAGUAUUAAGAAUGUAAUUUGAAGUUAUUUAAAACUUAAAAAAUUUGGCGGUUUUACAUAUCCAGUUAGGGGAGUUUGUUAAUUGAUUUGAUAAUCCACAUUUUAGACUUACUUUUUUUUGAAUAUUAUAUAUAUAUAUAUAUAUAAUUCAGUUUAUAUAUUGCUGUCGUCAGUAUAUAUUUUGAGAUAAGGGACUAAAUAAAUUUUAAUAUUUUUAUGUCAAGUCAUAAUGUAGCUGAUAAAAAAGAUUUAAUGGACUACUAUUAUUAAUAUUGUUUAUAUUAUAUAUCCGGAUAGUGAAUUUUUAUAUUUAUUGGAAGGUGGACUUAAUAGUAAAUUAUAAUUAGCAUGUAUUGUUGAAUAUUUAGGUUUUGUAAAAUG